rnacentral:lncRNA from 1 species
GGUUAGUAUAGUUCUAUUGUUUUUCAGUAGGUUUUAGAUAAUUUUUGUCUUACAAAAGUAAAAGUGAAUACUCAUUACUUGUGAAAGAACUUAGUUAGCUUGCCUUAGGUAGAUAGCAAGAGAAGAGUCCCUGGAAAGUCCCUGGUCAGUGCCUCAUCCCUGCAUAACAUAUAAAGAAGCCUGGAAAAAAUCAAGCUGCAGACACUAACAAGGGAACUAGCAUAUGUUGUUGUGCUUGGAGACAUGCCCGUGGCUGCACAGAUAGAAAAACCUCUGGCCCAUUUGGAUAAAAACUUGUACAAACCUCCAGCUCACUCAGAUAAAGGAACAAGAACGACCUAGCAUAGAAAUGCCUUUGUUUGGCCAGGCACGGUGGAUCAUGCCUGUAAUUCCAACAGUGUCGGAGGCAGCUGUGGGCGGAUCAUCUGAGGUCGAGAGUUUGAGACCAGCAUGACCAAUAUGGACAAACUCUGUCUUUACUAAAAAUACAAAACUAGCCAGGCAUGGUGCUGCAUGCCUAUAAUCCCAGUUAUUUGGGAGGCUGAGGCAGGAGAAUCGCUAGAACCCAGGAAGCAGAGGUUGCUGUGAGCCGAGAUCGCAUCAUUGCACUCCAGGCUGGGCAACAAGAGCAAAACUGCAAAAAAAAAAAUAAAAAAAAUAAAAAAAGAAAGUACAUCUCAAAAAAAAGAAAGAAAGACAAGAAAAAGAAAAAAAGAAACACUUUUGUCUUUGUACAGUCAGUGGGCUCCCAGGAAACUGUUCCUUCUCUUUUUGUUGGCAUGGGCACUGUGGGAUCUGGUGCGUUCCGGUCGACACUCUCCUUUAUUUGGACUGUAAGUCUGACCUCUAUGAAUAAUUACUUCAGCCCCUGAUUGCUCCCGGGCCAAGCUCCUUGGCCAAACUUUCACCUUAGCUUCUGAUAAGUCUUGGGCCAAGCGAAGCAGCAUCUAUCAAUCAUCCCUUCAGCUCCUGAUUGGUCCCGGGCCAAAGGCCUGGGCCAAGCUGAGCCACACGUUUUUCAAGACAGCCUGUGAAUUAGGCACAUUUCCUUCCCUUCCCAGUCCAUAAAAACCCUGGACCCAGCCUCGUAGAGGGCACCACUUUCAGACACCUAUCUCUGCUGGCAAAGAGCUUUCUUCUCUUGCUUCUUAAACUUUCACUCCAACCUCACCUUUGUGUUCACGCUCCUUAAUCUCCUUAGAGGUAGAAAAAAGAACUCUGAAUGUUAUCUCACACUACGAGAGACUGUUACAUCUUGGUGCACUGCUGAGACUACGACACUUGGUUUCUUUGAGUUUGACUAAAUAUUUUACAUGAGUGUAAUUAUACAGCUUUCCUUUUUGACUGUCUUAUUUUACUUAACAGAAUGUUUUGAAGAUUUGUCCUUAUUGUAGUACUUUUCAAGAUUUCCUUAUUUUUAAGGCUGAAUGCUAUCCCAGUGAUUGUACGUGCCCUGUUUGCUGAAUCUACUCAUCCUUAAGGGUACAUUUGCUUCCAGGUCCUGUAGCUUUUUCUUUUGAGGCGGAGUUUUGCUCUGUUGCCCAGGCUGGAGUGCAGUGGUGCAAUCUUGGCUCCCUGUAAGCUCCGCCU